ACCCGCUGAAUUUAAGCAUAUAACUAAGCGGAGGAAAAGAAACUAACAAGGAUUCCCCUAGUAAGGGCGACUGAAGCGGGAUCAGCCCAGAUUGUAAACUGACCUUAAUUAAGGUUGGGUUGUAGUCUAAAGAGGCGACGCCAGGCAAGGUCCGGGGAGAAGUCCCUUGGAACAGGGCAUCGGAGAGGGUGACAAUCCCGUCUGUGCCUCGGACCGCGUCGUACGGUGCGUCUUCGACGAGUCGGUUUGCUUGGGAUUGCAGACCAAACGGGUGGUAAAUUCCAUCUAAGGCUAAAUACGGGUGGGAGACCGAUAGCGAACAAGUACCGUGAGGGAAUGAUGCAAAGAACUUUGAAAAGAGAGUUAAAAAGGGCCUGAAACUGGUCGGAGGGAACCGAACGGCAGAAGUGGUGAUGGGCGCGUAUUUUCCGCCGGGCUCUUGGCCGGCGUACUUGUGCGCGUCCGUAGGUCAGCGUGGGUUGGGGCGUGGGAGUCGUUCAUGGGAAGGUCUUCGGGCCAAUCUCGUGUUCAGGCCGCGCCUGAGACCUUCGGUGACGAAAUUCUUCCGUUCACCCCGUCUUGAAACACGGACCAAGGAGUCUAAAAUACGAGCGAGUGCGCCGGUGGCAACCCGGGGCGCGUAAUGAAAGUGAGACCGACGGUGGGAGGGCUUUACGUCCGCACCAUCAACCGACCAGGAUCCUUCGGGUGAAAGGUUUGAGUGUAGCUUGUAUUUUGGGACCCGAAAGAUGGUGAACUAUGCCUGAAUAGGGCGAAGCCAGGGGAAACUCUGGUGGAGGCUCGUAGCGAUUCUGACGUGCAAAUCGAUCGUCAAAUUUGGGUAUAGGGGCGAAAGACUAAUCGAACCAUCUAGUAGCUGGUUCCCUCCGAAAUUUCCCUCAGGAUAGCAGCAAUCGAAGAGUUUUAUCAGGUAAAGCGAAUGAUUAGAGGCCUCAGGGGUGGAACGUCCUUGACCUAUUCUCAAACUUUAAAUGGGUAAGAGCCAGGGGUUGCUUAAGUGAACCCCUCGGUCGAAUCGCGGUUGCUAGUGGGCCACCCGGGGUAAGCUCGGUUGGCGAUGCGGGAUGAUCCGAACGUCGAGUUAAAGUGCCUCACUGCCCGCUCACCUAGAUCCCACAAAAGGUGUUGGUUCAUUUAGACAGCAGGACGGUGGCCAUGGAAGUCGGAACCCGCUAAGGAGUGUGUAACAACUCACCUGCCGAAUGGAUUAGCCCUGAAAAUGGAUGGCGCUGAAGCGAGCGACUUAUACUCGACCAUCACGGCAAGUGCGACGCCGUGAUGAGUAGGAGGGCGUGGGGCUCGUGGCGCAUCCCGCGGCGUGAGCCGGGGUGAAACGGGCUCUAGUGCAGAUCUUGGUGGUAGUAGC
rnacentral:rRNA from 1 species